AUAAAUGAGUUCAUUAAUGGGGGCGGAUUGUAAAUCCGCUGGUGUUACCUACGUUGGUUCAAAUCCGACUCGGCCCA
rnacentral:tRNA from 1 species